rnacentral:lncRNA from 1 species
AGAAAAGAGGGGGCAAACGAGUUAACACUCAACCCAAGGGGAAAACAUGCGUCAACAAAUCUUGUUGGCUUGCCCACUAAAGGGAGGAUUCAAGACAAAGCGACGGGUCAUUUAGUGAUAUCAAAGAAAGGCUGAGAGUUGCUCACCCAAGAGGGAGCAUAGAGCAGCCAGAAGAAGUUACUAAACGACAUCGACAAAAAGAGAAU